AGCCGCGGUAGUACUGAGGGUGCAAGCGUUAUCCGGAUUCACUGGGUUUAAAGGGUGCGUAGGCGGGUUGGUAAGUCCGUGGUGAAAUCUCCAAGCUUAACUUGGAAACUGCCGUGGAUACUAUCAAUCUUGAAUAUAGUGGAGGUGAGCGGAAUAUGUCAUGUAGCGGUGAAAUGCUUAGAUAUGACAUAGAACACCCAUUGCGAAGGCAGCUCGCUACACUAUUAUUGACGCUGAGGCACGAAAGCGUGGGGAUCAAACAGGAUUAGAUACCCUGGUAGUCCACGCCCUAAACGAUGAUUACUCGACAUCAGCGAUACACUGUUGGUGUCUGAGCGAAAGCAUUAAGUAAUCCACCUGGGAAGUACGACCGCAAGGUUGAAACUCAAAGGAAUUGACGG
rnacentral:rRNA from 1 species